rnacentral:rRNA from 1 species
AACGAACGCUGGCGGCAGGCUUAACACAUGCAAGUCGAACGGAUCCUUCGGGAUUAUUGGCAGACGGGGGAGUAACGCGUGGGAACGUACACAUUGCUACGGAAUAACUCAGGGAAACUUGAGCUAAUACCGAAUGUGCCCUAAGGGGGGAAGAUUUAUCGGCAAAGGAUCGGCCCGCGUUGGAUUAGCUAGUUGGUGGGGUAAUGGCCGACCCAGGCGACGAUCCAUAACUGGUUAGUGAGGAUGGUCAGCCACACUUGGACUGAGACACGGCCCAGACUCCUACGGGAGGCAGCAGUGCGGAACAGUGGACAAUGGCCGCAAGCCUGAACCAGCCCUGCCGCGUGAGCGAUGAAAGUCUUAGGAUUGUAAAGCUCAUUCACCGGUGAAGAUCAUGACGGUAGCCGGAGAAGAAGCCCCGGCUAACUUCGUG